rnacentral:rRNA from 1 species
UACGUAGGGGGCAAGCGUUAUCCGGAUUUACUGGGUGUAAAGGGAGCGUAGACGGUUAUGCAAGUCAGAAGUGAAAGCCCAAAGCUCAACUUCGGGACUGCUUUUGAAACUGUGUAACUAGAGUGCAGGAGGGGUAAGCGGAAUUCCUAGUGUAGCGGUGAAAUGCGUAGAUAUUAGGAGGAACACCGGCGGCGAAGGCGGCUUACUGGACUGUAACUGACGUUGAGGCUCGAAAGCGUGGGGAGCAAACGGG